CCCUGACCUUCUAAAGUAAACCCUACCCUCCCACCACAAAGCCCCUUACUGCUCUACAGCAAUCUCCAAUCCCCCACCCAAUAACCAUGUCAAGCUCCACAGGAAAGGCCUCCCACCUCCACUGCACUUCACACUCCAUGGAAGGUAUCAGUUCUUCCCCCACAACCACCUGCUUCACGCCCAUGGAAAGCUUCAGUCGUCUCUCCACAAAACCAGGUUAUAUUUGAAAUCAAGUACUACUCAUCCCUCUCAUCAACCACUUCACACGCCACAAUACACCCCAAUUCACCAAGCCUCAGAUGCCUUACACUCCACAGGACAGCUGCAGCUCUUUUACCUUCGCGUUAAUCACCAAUCUUUCUACUCUACACAUGCUGCAGACGCCACAGGAAUCCUCAAACCUCCUCUCCCACACGGCUUCAUGCCCCACAAUAAACUGCAGUCCCCCUAUCCUCACACCCGCUUCUCACUCCACAGGACCCCCAUCCUCAAGCCCACUUCACACUCCCCAGUCAUUUUCAAUCCUUCCUCCCCAAAAUGCUUGACUCCACAGUGAACGCUCUCCCCUCUCCCAGCCCUUCUGCAGUUCAUGUGAAUCCCCAAACCUUCCUCUCUACAAACAGUUCACAUUCCCAGGUAAACCCCAGGGUAAAUUCUCAUUCUGUAAGCUAACAUCCACUUUUAACCCCUUAGUUAUUUGCAGUUCUUCCAUCCCUAAAGCCACUCCACAAUAAACCCCUAUCCAUGCUCCCUAAAUGACUACACUCCACAGCAAAUCCUAAUCCUCUCGUGCCCACAGCCCAAUCACAUGCCAGAGUAACACCGAUCCUCAAAUACGACACAUCCUUCACACACCGUGAUAAACUCCAAUCCUCCGACCAACAGCCACUUCUUACUCCUUCGUAAUCCCUAGUAAUAUCUCCUACAACCACUUCACACAGUGAUUCCAAUGCUCCCUCCCUAUAUACAUCUCAUUCCACACUAAAUCCUUGUUCUCUCUCCACAUAACCACUUCACAUGCCACGAGAAGCCCCAUUCCUUCAAUUUCCCUAAAUUCUCCAAAGGAUUUUGAUAAUUGAACAAAUAUUUUAUAAUAACAUCGUGGAGAGAUGUUAAUAAAAUUUAAGUCUACCAUCCCAAGGGCCUGUUCUAAGGAUUUACAGUGAAAGAAGUGUCACCUUUUCUGCAUAAGGAUAUACUUUGCCACGCUAUUCAUACUGCUGAAAACUGGAUGAAUCUUAACUAACAUUGACUACUGUGUUAGGAUUAGUCAUUGCUGACUGUGCCAGCCUGCAGCCUCAUAAUCAGAGCCUUGUCACCAAGCAUGGCUGCCUCAGUGACUGGAAUGGAAAUGAAAAUAAAGCAAGUGUUAUUUUCCUCAUCCUGAAGCAACAGAGAACUGCAUCAGGCUUACCAACAUGAACGUGGGUAAGAAGGAGUUUUGAAGUCCAGCAAAGAUUUUAUAGCUAGUGAGGCUGGCUGGAAGCAGGGUCGAUCUGGUCUGAUGUGUUGCAAGAUGUGAACUUAUUAAGGCAUCACAGAGGCAACUCCCAGCGGGGGUGGAGGAGAGCAGCAGGGAUGGAAAGGAAGAAGACUCUCAAGAUAGGAUGCUCCAAAGGAUGAUUGGAAGAGAAGGGUGAUGUCUGGAAGCGAUAAGCCUCAGAUGUUUGUUUGCACCUUACUGGAAAGCCAUGUAAAUUAAUGGAAACUUCCUGGCAAAAUAGCUUGACUUGUAGCAACUUCACAACCAUAACAAUCCAGAGGUGAGGUUUGCCCGCACCCUAUUCAUUUCAAUCCCGAAGGCAAUUUUCCCCUUGGCCAGAGAGAAGCUCAAGAACAAAAAACCAAACACCGCAUGUUCUCACUCAUAGGUGGGAAUUGAACAAUGAGAACACAUGGACACAGGAAGGGGAACAUCACACUCUGGGGACUGUUGUGGGGUGGGGGGAGGGGGGAGGGAUAGCAUUAGGAGAUAUACCUAAUGUUAAAUGACAAGUUAAUGGGUGCAGCACACCAGCAUGGCACAUGUAUACAUAUGUAACUAACCUGCACAUUAUGCACAUGUACCCUAA
rnacentral:lncRNA from 10 species